CGCAAACGAAGCGCCUUUCUCCUGACGCCUCGGAGCAAGUAGGAGGUGGAGACCUCUCUGUUGUUGCCCCUUCGCUCGUUUAAUAUUUCUGGUUCCUUCUAAGUCUGCAAAAUGUCAAGGAGGUUCAGGGAGGAGUAUCGUCGCUACAAUAAAAACUCGCAUUACACGGGACAGAUGGGAUCCAGUCAGACUGCCAAUGCCAGCUGAAAUUCGGUCACUAAGGGGCAACAAAAAAAGAACAGGAGCUACCAGGAAGAGUGGGGUUGUGGCACACCAAGGAAGAAAAGAAGAGCCAAGGAACAGAGGCUCUUAAGUUCCCCACCCCUCCAAGUACUUGUGGAUACCAAAAGGGUUACUAAAACUGUUCAAAUAAAACCACACUCUGCUUGAA